rnacentral:tRNA from 1 species
GCCCUCUUGGCUUAGUGGUAAAGCGUAUCACUAGUACUCCAACUGCUCUCUAGCAGAUCUGGCUUGCAAAUGAUAAGAUCGCUAGUUCGAUUCUGGCAGAGGGCA